rnacentral:rRNA from 17 species
GUUGUAUGGUUAAGUGACUAAGCGUACACGGUGGAUGCCUUGGCAGUCAGAGGCGAUGAAAGACGUAGUAACUUGCGAUAAGCCCAGAUUAGGUAGUAACAACCAUUUGAGUCUGGGAUUUCUGAAUGGGGAAACCCACGUGCAUAAGCACGUAUCCUUACCUGAAUACAUAGGGUAAGGAGGCGAACCGGGGGAACUGAAACAUCUAAGUACCCCGAGGAAAAGAAAUCAACCGAGAUUCCGAAAGUAGCGGCGAGCGAAAUUGGACUAGCCCUUAAGCUUUACACGCGUUAGACGAACGGUCUGGAAAGUCCGACGAUACAGGGUGAUAGUCCCGUAGUUGACGACGUGUGUUCAGUGAAAUCGAGUAGGGCGGGACACGUGAUAUCCUGUCUGAAUAUGGGGGGACCAUCCUCCAAGGCUAAAUACUACUGACUGACCGAUAGUGAACCAGUACCGUGAGGGAAAGGCGAAAAGAACCCCUGUGAGGGGAGUGAAAUAGAACCUGAAACCGUGUACGUACAAGCAGUAGGAGCAGGCUUUGUCCUGUGACUGCGUACCUUUUGUAUAAUGGGUCAGCGACUUAUAUUCAGUGGCAAGGUUAACCAUCUAGGGGAGCCGUAGGGAAACCGAGUCUUAACUGGGCGUUCAGUCUCUGGAUAUAGACCCGAAACCAGGUGAUCUAGCCAUGGGCAGGUUGAAGGUUGAGUAACAUCAACUGGAGGACCGAACCGACUAAUGUUGAAAAAUUAGCGGAUGACUUGUGGCUAGGGGUGAAAGGCCAAUCAAACCUGGAGAUAGCUGGUUCUCCCCGAAAGCUAUUUAGGUAGCGCCUCGGACGAAUACUACUGGGGGUAGAGCACUGUUAAGGCUAGGGGGUCAUCCCGACUUACCAACCCUUUGCAAACUCCGAAUACCAGUAAGUACUAUCCGGAGA